UUCUGUGAUUUUGUUAUUUUUUCAUGGAAAUCUCUCUGAUUUUGAUACCGUUGUUAUUAUUUCUAAGAUUUUAGGUUACACCCACAUCUCCUUUUCUUCAUUUCGUGACUUGGAGGAACUAAUGGGAUGAUUCUUUUCUCAUUUUUCAUUUGGUAGGUGUAGGCAUUCAUAGUUAAGAAUUUUUAAGAUAGCUGCAAUCGAAAUGAUUUCUUCGUUCCCCUAUUUUAUUUAUGAUUCAUAGCUUCUCUCGCUCACAUGAAGUGCAUGAUUAAUCCCACUGCAAAUGUUAUCAGAUUAAUCCCUUAGUUUUAGUUUGGGCCCUUUGGGGUUAUAUUGUAACUAGGAAAGAAGGAAUGGCCUAAGGACAAACAAUUAGGUACUUUUGAGAUUCAAUUGGGCGUCUUUCAUUAGAAUUUUCUUGGUACAUGACAUAUUUGGAGAUUAACCAACAUCUAUCUCAGUCUGACAGAUUCUCGCCACAACCACCUACUAACCUUCAAAAAUAUAAGGGAGGAGGAAAAAGGAAAAUCUUGGAUGACCCGUGUUCAAAUCUCUCGAAAGUGAAACGAAUUAUAUUUCAGGGGAAACAUAUAAUCUCACCGGCUUGGAUGUGUUCGUGCUCGAUGACAAUGUAAGUAACACUAACAUUUCUAGGAAAUUAUCUAAUGACCUGUGUUGGAAUCUCUCGAAAGUGGAACGAAUUAAAUUUCAUGGGGACCGAUGAUGUCAUUAGCUCGAAUGUGUUCAUGCUCGAUGACGAUGUAAGUAACACUAACAUCUCCAAGAAAUUAUGUAACUUUCAGGCCUAUUUGAGGUUUUUAUAGAGAUGGUUUUAAACUGUAUGAUCUCAUUUUUAACUUCUACUCCAGAUUAAGAGAGAGUGUACUUACUGGCAUGACUCCUUUUUGGAGAAAAAAUAGUAGAGCAGGUAAAGAGGUGAGCACCUUGCUUAAAAAAGGUAAUUUUUUGGCUGACAAUUAACAGCACAAGAAUAAGACAUUAUAAUGUGCAGAAAAAUUGAAUGCCAUGACCACUGCCUUUCUAUUUCCAUUGUUGACAACUGUCCUAUUUUCAACAUUGUAUUUAUUCAUCGAAUGUCUCAAAUGACCAUAAUCCAUAUAAUUUGCAUCCUUUUUUUUCCUGUUCUGUUGAAGAAUUGUAGAUCUAUCGAAGAACUCUAACAUAUAGAUUUCGGGUUUUGCAUCCUGUACAAAAGUGCUUUUGUUUUCUAAGUCCAAGUUAGAAUGUUAAACAAGAUAGGACACUUUGAAGUUUAGUAUAUGGUCUUCUUAGUCUGAUACAUGACCUGUCUAUAGUGUCCCCAGGAAUUCUCUACAUUGGCCGUCAAUGAAACUACCCAUCUCCUAGAAUUUUAUUUGUUGCUCUAAAUGCACUGGAAAGGACAUCAAAGAAACCAUUCAAUUACCAUGAAUGGUUUCUGCUUAUGUAUGCAUUUGAAUCUCAAAUUGUGUGUGGCCUAUUUUUAACAUUACUGAUAUGUUUUGGUUGGUUCUGCCCAGUUUUACACCAUUUGGUAUCAUAGAUUUGUGGACUCAAAGAAUGAUUUAUAUCAGAGAUGGAUUCCACGCCUAAGAAUUUACUUAUAUUGUUCUUUUUUUCUCACCCAAAGAAGUAAUUAAUUAAUUAAUUUCACUUAAUGAGUGAUAUCUUCCAAAUUCGGAGGAUGAAAAGAGGAGGGCGAAUGGUUUCAGGGAUGAAGGCUCAAGAGCGCACUACGAUACCAACCAUAGUAGUAAAUCGUAUGGAAUAAUACCUUGAUCUUUCAUUUGUCUAUUUUUUUUUGGGAGCAAAUCGUUUGGUUAGAUGUUUCUCCCUUUCUGCAAUUUCCCUAUCAUACAACAAUUGAAAUUUUAAAAUCUAUGUGCCAUAGUAAUUCGGAAAUGGAUCAUUCCAUUUGUUUUAGUUCUGAUGUUAAUUUUGUGUUAUGUUUCUCUUUCUGCAAUGUACCUAUACCUUGGCCUCCAGUUGUACAAACGCCAAAGACUCAUGCCGUAUCAGUUACUAACAACUGGAUGUAACUCCUUAGUCUACAUUUUAUUCAUUAUAAAAAAUUUCUUGCUCGCUGUGUCGGAAUCAUCAGGUUUGUAUAAGUUUUUUCCCAGUAUUUAUUGGUGGUAGCCUAUGAGCCUUCGUUGUAUGACGUUAAUGUUGUUGUUCCCUUCAUUUUUUUUCCCUUUAAUUUUCUCUUUAAACGGAUAUCUUAUAACAUUUUUUUUGAAUUAAGUAGUGAAGGUUGAUAUCAACAUUAACAGGGAGUCGGGGACUUUCUUGAAGGAAAAAUGGUAGUGUAUGUGUUGGUAAACUUUGCCAUGAACUCUAACGAAGAACCAAAAGGAAAGGUAAUUUUAUCUGUGUCUGUUUUUAGCCAAAUCAUUUUUGUGUUAAUUUUGCCAUGUCAACAUACGGAAAGGUAAACUUCGCCAUUUCCAGGAUCAACCUCAAAAGAGACUCAUGACUCAUGAGGUUGUCACUAUGCAGACGUCCUAUCUGGGGAGUCAUAUGAAUCACACAUGUCUCAACAAAAUUAGAUAUUCAGCCAUAUUAUUCCAUUAAUAUCUUAAUAAUUUUAAAUGUUUGGCAGGACCAGGAUAGUAAUGAUAACCUGGGAUUUUCAGUAUAGUGAUGAUAACCUGGGAUUUUCAGGUUCACUCAUGUUAUGGGAAGAGUGUGAAGCACUGUUGAAGAAACACGGGGACUUUAGUCUUGGAAAUGGAAGCGAAUAACAAGCAACACUAGGUGGAUAGGAUUUUGGCAGUGAAUUUCUGGCCGCAAGAUAGAAAUUAUACCAGCACAUGGAGUACCGGAAUCAAUGAAGGAGCUAGACAUAUUGGGAUGUGUGGUCGCUUCACAUUUUAGUUUAUACCUGUGUUUUUUUUCUUAAGUUAGGAUUCAUGUCUAUCUUGGCAUAUUUAAGCUGCUGUUUGUUUGGAAAAUGAUUAAAUUUUGUUAGGUCUUUGGGUUUGGGUUUUAAAUGUUGCUUCAGUUUAGCUAAAAAAAUAACGUCGCUUCCAUUUUGAGUUUUGGAGUUCACAAUAUACGUGUGGGUAUGUAAUACCAGAUGUCACCAAAGGCUUG